AACGAACGCUGGCGGCAGGCCUAACACAUGCAAGUCGAGCGCGCCCUUCGGGGUGAGCGGCGGACGGGUGAGUAACGCGUGGGAACGUGCCCUUUUCUACGGAAUAGCCUCGGGAAACUGAGAGUAAUACCGUAUACGCCCUUGGGGGGAAAGAUUUAUCGGAAAAGGAUCGGCCCGCGUUGGAUUAGGUAGUUGGUGGGGUAAUGGCCUACCAAGCCGACGAUCCAUAGCUGGUUUGAGAGGAUGAUCAGCCACACUGGGACUGAGACACGGCCCAGACUCCUACGGGAGGCAGCAGUGGGGAAUCUUAGACAAUGGGGGCAACCCUGAUCUAGCCAUGCCGCGUGAGUGAUGAAGGCCUUAGGGUUGUAAAGCUCUUUCAGCUGGGAAGAUAAUGACGGUACCAGCAGAAGAAGCCCCGGCUAACUCCGUG
rnacentral:rRNA from 1 species